GAGGACGGAACGGGCAGCCGUCGCUCCUCGUAAGAGGUUAAGAGAUGCGGGAGCGCCGCCCCGCC
rnacentral:ncRNA from 1 species